rnacentral:rRNA from 1 species
AUGGGAGCGGGUCAUAACGGCGUGUCGGCGCUCGGCCUUGUCCUGGCCGUGGCGGCCGCGCUGCUGGUGUGCCAGUGCGCGGCGCAGGCGCAGGCGCCGGCGCAGGCUCCAUCUGGUGGCAGCGGGGGCUCUGGUUGCAUGCCGGAGCUCGUCAGCCUGUCGCCGUGCAUGGGCUACAUGUCGGGCAACGCGACGGCGCCCGGGGAGCCGUGCUGCGCGGCGGUGUCCGGCGUGCUGCGGUCCAGCCCGCGGUGCCUCUGCGCGGUGCUCGGCGGCACGGCGGCCACGCUCGGCGUCGCCCUGGACGGCGCCCGCGCGCUGCAGAUGCCCGCGGCGUGCAGGGUCCAGGCGCCGCCCGCCAGCCAGUGCGACUCCAUGGGUGUUCCGAUGUCUUCUCCGGCGACGCCCUACGAUCCCGACGUUACCCCUGCAGGGUCUGGAUCCAAGGCCACUCCGACGCCUCAGUACUCCCACGGGAACGUCAACAGAGCAGGAGCAGGAAGGAGAAGUCUGGCCUUCGUCGUCGCCGUCGUAGCAAUAGCUCUGAUUCGUGGACCCUGA